AUUGAACGCUGGCGGCAGGCCUAAAACAUGCAAGUCGAACGAGGGGCAGACGGGUGAGUAAUGUGUAGGCAACUACCCGCAGGAGGGGGAUAAAGACUGGAAAAGGUAGCUAAUAACGCAUAGCAUCGGCUGAGCCCAGAUGGGAUUUGAUAGUAGGGGGGGUGAAGGCUCACCUAGGCGACGAUCCCGAGCUGGUCUGAGAGGAUGACCAGCCACACGGGAACUGAGACACGGUCCAGCCUCCUACGGUAGGCAGCAGUGGGUAUGAUUGCACAAUGGGCGCAAGCCUUAUGCAGCCAUGCCGCGUGUAUGACGAAGGCCUUCGGGUUGUAAAGUACUUUCAGCUGGGAGGCGUUACCCGCAGAAGAAGCACCGGCUAACUCCGUGCCAGCAGCCGCGGUAAUUC
rnacentral:rRNA from 1 species